rnacentral:rRNA from 1 species
GACGAACGCUGGCGGCGUGCUUAACACGUGCAAGUCGAACGGGCCCGCUCUCUUUUUUGGGGGUGGGUUGAGUGGCGAACGGGUGAGUAUCACGUGAGUAACCUGCCCCCUGCUCCUGGAUAACUGCUUGAAAGGGCGGCUAAUACGGGGUGUGCCGGCUGGUCCGCAUGGGCCUGGUCGGGAUAGUUUCAUCUUCGGGUGUUUCGGUAGGGGAUGGGCUCGCGGCCUAUCAGCUUGUUGGUGGGGUGAUGGCCCACCAAGGCGGUGACGGGUAGCCGGCCUGAGAGGGUGGGCGGCCACACUGGGACUGAGACACGGCCCAGACUCCUGCGGGAGGCAGCAGUGGGGGGUAUUGCACAAUGGGCGGAAGCCUGAUGCAGCGACGUCGCGUGAGGGAUGGAGGCCUUCGGGUUGUGAACCUCUUUCUCCGGUGGUGAAGGCCCUGUCCGUUGCGGCGGGGUUGACGGUAGCCGGGUAUGAAGCGCCGGCUAACUACGUG